rnacentral:misc_RNA from 1 species
GAUGAAGAACGCAGCGAAAUGCGAUAAGUAAUGUGAAUUGCAGAAUUCAGUGAAUCAUCGAAUCUUUGAACGCACAUUGCGCCCCUUGGUAUUCCGGUGGGCAUGCCUGUUCGAGCGUCAUUAUCCUCCCUCAAACCCCGGGUUUGGUGUUGGACCCAAGUUGUGUGAACAACUGGUCUCAAAGACAAUGACGGCGUCCGUGGGACCCUCGGUGCAACGAGCUUUUAGGAGCACGCAUCGAGUUGCAAGGACCUUCCGGGCCGGUCUCCUUUACCAUUUUACAAGGUUGACCUCGGAUCAGGUAGGAAUACCCGCUGAACUUAAGCAUAUCAAUAAGCGGAGGA